AACGAACGCUGGCGGCAUGCCUAACACAUGCAAGUCGAACGAGAUCUUCGGGUCUAGUGGCGCACGGGUGCGUAACGCGUGGGAAUCCGCCCUUUGGUUCGGAAUAACAGUUGGAAACGACUGCUAAUACCGGAUGAUGACGAAAGUCCAAAGAUUUAUCGCCAGAGGAUGAGCCCGCGCAGGAUUAGCUAGUUGGUGUGGUAAAGGCGCACCAAGGCGACGAUCCUUAGCUGGUCUGAGAGGAUGAUCAGCCACACUGGGACUGAGACACCGCCCAGACUCCUACGGGAGGCAGCAGUGGGGAAUAUUGGACAAUGGGCGAAAGCCUGAUCCAGCAAUGCCGCGUGAGUGAUGAAGGCCUUAGGGUUGUAAAGCUCUUUUACCCGGGAUGAUAAUGACAGUACCGGGAGAAUAAGCUCCGGCUAACUCCGUGCCAGCAGCCGCCGCCG
rnacentral:rRNA from 1 species